rnacentral:rRNA from 1 species
UGGUGGAGCGAUUUGUCUGGUUAAUUCCGAUAACGAACGAGACUCUAGCCUGCUAAAUAGGUGGCGGGUUUAAUGAAAAUUUUAAACGGGGAGUAGGAGACUCUGGGAUCAGGUUGGCGUUCGUUGGCCGUGGUUUCGGCGGGCUGCGGGUGCGGCAACGUGCUCGUGGUUCGUCGGGCUGCGGUCCGCGGGCGUCAGCCCCCGGAGACCCUCCUGCUCUCACGUCCGUCACAGCUCUUCUUAGAGGGACAAGCGGCGUCCAGCCGCGUGACAGUGAGCAAUAACA